rnacentral:rRNA from 1 species
AUGGCUUUUUUAUUUCCCAAGAAAAGUAUAUCCAGGAUCUUCUUGCUCGUGCGGCUCUUAGUGAUGAGCGCACUGUUGAGACUCCUAUGGAGCUUAAUGUUCACCUUCGUGCUACUGAUGGUGAGCCCUUGUCCGAUCCGACUCGUUAUCGUCAUCUUGUUGGGAGUCUUGUCUAUCUCGCUGUCACUCGUCCGGAUAUCUCCUAUCCUGUCCAUAUCCUGA